rnacentral:rRNA from 1 species
UAGCGCCUACGGGGGGCAGCAGUAGGGAAUCUUCCACAAUGGGCGAAAGCCUGAUGGAGCAACGCCGCGUGGGUGAAGAAGGUCUUCGGAUCGUAAAACCCUGUUGUUAGAGAAGAAAGUGCGUGAGAGUAACUGUUCACGUUUCGACGGUAUCUAACCAGAAGGCCACGGCUAACUACGUGCCAGCAGCCGCGGUAAUACGUAGGUGGCAAGCGUUAUCCGGAUUUAUUGGGCGUAAAGCGAGUGCAGGCGGGUCAAUAAG